AAGAUGGACUGAAGUGCAAGAGAAUGCUGCACAGUAGGAGUGAGGGCUCACAGUGCUCUUCAGAGGUUCUCAGGAUUCUAUGUUGUUGGCCUCAAGCUGGGGUUCGUUUGAGCUCAAGGCAGCAUCCGUGAAAACAAAAAGGUUGGCAGGAGGCAAUCAUGGAUGUCCUGCGGCUCAUCUCUCGGCUGGCUGGCUAGAGACUGGAGCGCUUCACUCGUAAUGAAGGCUGUAUUCAGACUGUGGAGAUCAGGAGUGCCUGGCCUGACCACUGUUCAUACAAAUUCUCCCUGAUGGAGCCUGCCUGACAGUGACCUCACAUCAUGCUAGCGGGCAGCUCAUCAUCUCUGCAUGGAGAACGAU